UGAGCUCACUCCAAUGGGCCCCAUUCUGGAGUCUACUACAACGACAGAGGCAGAAGUCCAAACUGAGCUCACGUGCAGAAACCUCCAAUUGCUAGAAGAUUACCGCAAACUAUCCGUUGAGCUGGCCGCGGUGAAAAAGCAAAAAGAGGAAAUGAAAAUGUUGGAAGCGUCCUUGCGUGAAGACCCCAACAAAGUGUCAUUCUACACAGACUGAAGCCUCUCAUGUCAUGGCCCUCAAGGCAAGCAAUAAGGAGGACAAUGCCUCAAGCCUUUUUUUAAUCAUUCGGAG
rnacentral:lncRNA from 1 species